AAUAAUGUGGUGCUGAGGUUGAAUGGACCACAGCCAACUCCCUCUGCCUGGGAAGUGAAGAGGAAGAAUGAAUUGUUUUCUAGAGGAGAUGGUGCUGGUUGGAAAGAAAAUGUCCAAAGAGAUCGGUGGAUGUGGAGACUUGGUCUGGCACUUGUGAGCAACAGUGUCCUUCACCAAGGCAGAGAUGUAAAAGACUAUCAAAGAAAGACAGAGUUGAAAGACCAGUUCUUCAGGAAAUGUGUUCCUAGAUAGGGUUGGCGUAUUGGUCAGCAGACUGAGAGUGGAAGACCUAUCCUACUUGUGGAUGGCACUAAUCAAAAUGUUUGUCACCUGGAUGUAAUAAAAGAGAAAGAAGAAAAACAUGUGAAUGCUCCAUUCUGCUUCACCAUUUUUCCAGGGAGCUUCCAGCCUUUGACCUCAGACUGGUGCUGUGUCCUUGAUCCUUCUUGUCCUGCAGCUUCCAGCUUCUUGGACUGAGCAGCUACUGGGUUCACCAGGUCUCUAGUGCAGAGGGCCACUGUGGACUCCCCUACCUCUGAUCUUAUUCAGAGACAGGAAUCUCCAAGAUCAAGGUACAACAGGGCCCAGCUUAUGAUGAAGACUUGCUUACAAAUGGCUGCCUUCUUUCUGCAACCUCAUAUGAUCUUUCUUCUGAGCACAUAAAGAGAGAAGGGGAGAGAGGAGCAGAGAAGGAGAGACACUCUCUCUCUUUCUAAAGUCGUUCCCAUACUAUUAAAUUGGGACCACCCUUAUGUCCUCACUUAAUCUUACUUAGCCCCUAAAAGCCCUAUCUGUGUAGUCAUAUUGGGGUUUAGGAAUUGGAGGAGUGCAUACUUCUGUCACAGUAAUGAGUGAGGAAGUUCUUGACUACACUACUAGUGAUAAUAAAAGGAAGAAAAAAGGAAAGGAUUUUCUGUGGUGUGUAUUUUCUCUUUUCUUUUCUUUUCAUCUCUUUUCUUUCUGGUAGUAUUAGAGGUUGAACCCAGGGUCUCACACUGAGCUAGCUACAUGCCUGACUCUUUGUUUUUAUUUUUAUUUGAUACAGGUCCUUGCUAAUUUGCUGUUGCCUAGCUUGGGCUCAGACUUGCAAUUCUCCUGACUUAGCCUCUCAGAGUGCUGGGAACACAAGCAUGCACCACCAUACCAAGCUUAGUGUGACUAUUUUACAUUUUAUUUUGUAAGGUUAUGGAGAUUUUGUUAUUCUUGUAAGAUGAGGAAAGACAGUAGUAGGCUGAGGAAAGACAGUAGGGAAAGGGAGAAGUAGAAGACACAGAAGGUAAUUGAUGGGAACAAUUAUA
rnacentral:lncRNA from 1 species